rnacentral:rRNA from 1 species
GGCGAGUGAAGCGGCAACAGCUCAAAUUUGAAAUCUGGCUCUCGGGCCCGAGUUGUAAUUUGUAGAGGAUGUUUUUGAUGCGGUGCCUUCCGAGUUCCCUGGAACGGGACGCCAUAGAGGGUGAGAGCCCCGUCUGGUUGGAUGCCAAAUCUCUGUAAAACUCCUUCAACGAGUCGAGUAGUUUGGGAAUGCUGCUCUAAAUGGGAGGUAUAUGUCUUCUAAAGCUAAAUACCGGCCAGAGACCGAUAGCGCACAAGUAGAGUGAUCGAAAGAUGAAAAGCACUUUGAAAAGAGAGUUAAAAAGUACGUGAAAUUGUUGAAAGGGAAGCGUUUAUGACCAGACUUGGGCUUGGUUAAUCAUCUGGGGUUCUCCCCAGUGCACUUCUCCAGCUCAGGCCAGCAUCAGUUUUCCCCGGGGGAUAAAGACUUUGGGAAUGUGGCUCUCCUCGGAGAGUGUUAUAGCCCAUUGUGUAAUACCCUGGGGGGGACUGAGGUUCGCGCAUCUGCAAGGAUGCUGGCGUAAUGGUCAUCAAUGACCCGUCUUGAAACACGGACCAAGGAGUCGUCUUCGUAUGCGAGUGUUCGGGUGUCAAACCCCUACGCGUAAUGAAAGUGAACGCAGGUGAGAGCUUCGGCGCAUCAUCGACCGAUCCUGAUGUUCUCGGAUGGAUUUGAGUAAGAGCAUACGGGGCCGGACCCGAAAGAAGGUGAACUAUGCCUGUAUAGGGUGAAGCCAGAGGAAACUCUGGUGGAGGCUCGCAGCGGUUCUGACGUGCAAAUCGAUCGUCAAAUAUGGGCAUGGGGGCGAAAGACUAAUCGAACCUUCUAGUAGCUGGUUUCCGCCGAAGUUUCCCUCAGGAUAGCAGUGUUGAACUCAGUUUUAUGAGGUAAAGCGAAUGAUUAGGGACUCGGGGGCGCUAUUUAGCCUUCAUCCAUUCUCAAACUUUAAAUAUGUAAGAAGCCCUUGUUGCUUAAUUGAACGUGGGCAUUCGAAUGUAUCAACACUAGUGGGCCAUUUUUGGUAAGCAGAACUGGCGAUGCGGGAUGAACCGAACGCGAGGUUAAGGUGCCAGAGUAGACGCUCAUCAGACACCACAAAAGGUGUUAGUACAUCUUGACAGCAGGACGGUGGCCAUGGAAGUCGGAAUCCGCUAAGGACUGUG